rnacentral:rRNA from 1 species
UACAGAGGGGGCAAGCGUUGUUCGGAAUUACUGGGCGUAAAGGGCGCGUAGGCGGCCUUCUAAGUCGAACGUGAAAUCCCCGGGCUCAACCCGGGAACUGCGUCCGAUACUGGAAGGCUUGAAUCCGGGAGAGGGAUGCGGAAUUCCAGGUGUAGCGGUGAAAUGCGUAGAUAUCUGGAGGAACACCGGUGGCGAAGGCGGCAUCCUGGACCGGCAUUGACGCUGAGGCGCGAAAGCCGGGGAGCAAACGGG